GGCUGUGAGAUAAGGGAAGGGCCAUUUGAUGCUAAUACCAACCCCUCAGUGGCUCCGGUGAUCAGAAGAACUAAAGGGCGUUAGAGGCCGACUUCUGCCUGGGAGGAGGAUGAGAACAGGUUGACUGGAAACAUAGGGGGGUCAAAACACUGGGGGUAAAAAGGGGGGAAAAGGUGCCUUCAACUAGCAGUGAGGGUCAGAGACAAGGCUCUGGCAGUAAAGGGCAAAACAGCAUGAGGCGAAACCAUUUCUGUCUAAUAAUUAAUGCAAUCCUCAACAAAUAUAUGACUACACAUGUGGCUACGGAUAGUUGUCUGACAGUACUACAACUCUCUCUUACAUGUUCAACAGAAUGAUGACCAGAGGAGAACUAAUCUUUUCAUCCCCUCAUCUAAAACAACACAGCUGUUCGGUCCAGGGAUAAGCAGCUUUCCCCCAAUGAAGACCAGAGUCACCCAUCCCAGCAACCAGGAUCCCGCGAUGGGCGACGUGUAUGCUUAUAUACCAACAUGGAUCACAUCAGACCGCAGUUGUUGUUUUUAAAGGCAUUUUAUUUUGGAGGUUUGACUUCAUUGCACAAGAUACAUAGAAACAAAAACAUUUCUUCAAGGCAGGAAAAGUUAAAACAAAAAAUGUUGAUCCACAGGAAAUAUCUCAGAGCACAAUUUAUAAGGCUACAUACUCCAACUGGUCUUUACUCAUUUCAUAUAAUGCAUUCUAUGUAUUAUUAGUAUACGUAUGGUCUUCAACCUUAUAAAGACCUCAAUGUUCCAGCCAAGGCAUAAGGUUUGUAGAGAUGAUGAUAUUUAUGUGUUAGGGGUUAGACAAGUGCAUUCAGAGACAGGUUAUUAAACAGCAGGUUGGGUUAUGUUUUUUGGCAAAGUGCUUACAGGUAGACUCAGGAGGUUAGGAAUCAUACCAAGAAUCUAAGGCCAGGGAGUCUGGAUGAUAUCCAUUUUAAAAGGAUAAACAACAAGACCCAACCAGGCGUAGCCCAUCCUCCUUUCCCAAGUCGGGUCGGGCCAUGACACUCCACUGCUCAGCCAAUGAACAGUGGUUACGGGCUGUAUUUCUGCCCAGUGAUGCACAAGGCGAAGGGCGGGGCUUACGGCCGGAGGGGGCGACACGUGGCGCCCAACGAGGUCAGCGCCUGUCACAUGGCGUCACGUCUGCCCACCGACCCCAGUCUGAACGAGCAGACACGCGUUUCCUUCUUCAAAAAAACAAACGACUUCUGUGUAUAGAGGUUCACAAAAUGUGAUGCGUGCACGCGUUAAAAGCUGAUAAGGCUCUCAUCAAGCGUUCGCUCCCAGUCGCAUAGCACUAUUAAAGCGUUGCCUAGAAGUGUGAGAAAUCUGAUAGCGCUCGUCAUUGCCAUGUUACACAUGCACUCAGACUCCCAACCAACAGAUGACAGAGCUCUUGAACAGCUUUUCUAUAAGUGCACCAGAACAUUGUGUUGGUAAAACCAAACUCUUUUAACUAAGCCAACAGAACCAGACCAUUGUAGACUAGCCGCCAUUUUUUAAAAGCCAAACACCAGGAACACAAAAUGGCUCCAACAAAAUACCAAUAGCCACCAGAGCAACGUUCUGGUAAAUUCAAUAAACGCUAGAGUUAAAGAACACCUCUUUAACAUAUCCGCCCCAGCCGAGGACACUACGUUGUGGGUGAGUCACUCGCACGACAUUGCUAAAUGCCACAGGAAGUGGUGUCACAGAGAAGUAACAUCUAAGGCCUGGGUUUUGAGAUUUGUCAGUUUGUGGUUAAACUACUCAAGCAUUGUCUGGAUUACCAACAAUACUUGAAAUUACCGACUUGAAAUCUUUCAAUUAAAGUGUCACAGCUUUAUUAAAUCAGUUCAUAAACGAAGUCAUAUACAUUCAUCAAUAAAAACACAAUAUUCGAAGAUUCUAGGUUAAAAUUAGGGCACACACACACACACAUGCACAGUUCAAUGAAGAAAGACGUUUCAAUGACAGUCCUGGUGUGCUGCCCAGGGCUCAGAAACAGAACAGGGGGAAAUAUACAAGUAGUGAUGAAUACAACGUCAAAGUCCUUCCUAAAAACGUUUCACUCGUAUACUGUGCAAAUACUGUUACAGAUACCAAACAAGCAUGAAUAUGGACCGAGAGAGAAGGUCCCGCUUAGAUUCUGGACACGCAACAGGGAUUUCCUAAAGUGGAGAGUGAUUGAAAAAAAAAAAAAAAAAAAAAAAAAAAGAAUAUAUAGAAAACACUGAAGAGAGCCAUCGGUCUGCCCAGAGCUCCACUUUUGAGGAAAUGAUUACAGGCGGCACGCAUCCCUUCAGCAGACCUCACCCCCUCACAUCAUUCCACCCGCCUUCCUCCUCGCUAUACCACCAGAAAGGUUCACAGUUUAGAACAGCAUUAUCAGAACCUCAGCAACGACUAUAGCUGAACACCUCCAACCCCCCCCACCCCCCCCCAUCCCAAAUAUAGACCGCCAAUUCUGCUUCUCCAAAAAAAGGCCAUGAUGAACAACAUCCAGCAGGACUAACUAAAACACAACAGGUCCUUACAGCAGGACUAGAGCCCUCUCAACACUAUCGUUGGUGAGGGCAGGAGAGGGUGAUGGAUGGGGGAAAGGGUGCUGGCGGGCCCAGGCCUACGAUCUCAACCACUUUCUCUGUCCCAGCCCACCCAGUCAAAUCGUCUUCAUCUUGUAGUCGUGCGGAUGGCUUCAGAGUAUUUCAGGCUGGCGUCGGGGCUCUGAUCAGGGCGGCGGCUGGUCCUGGGCCGUCUCGGUCAUCUGCUUGGCACUGUAGUAGGACAGGCCCAGGCCCAUGAUGGCCAGCAUCAUGGCAAUCUGGUUCACGGCCCGGUCGUGAGGCUUGGUCUGGACCUCUCCGGCCACUUGCCGCUGUGGCCAAUCAGAGCAGAGACACAAAGGGGAGAAGGGGGGAGAAGGGGUCAAGGGUCGUUCACCAGAGACAACAGACCAUUCCAGAUAUUCCAUCAUGUCAACAAAGACCCCUUAAGAAUAUAAAGGCUGAUGACGCCAUCGGGAAAGAGAGCAAACAUUUGCAUAUUGAUGUCAGGAAGCAGAAAGGUUUUCAAUGGGCCGCCGUGUUACCCCCCCCAAACUCACUCAUCUAAAAUUUAGAGUAUCUAGCAUGGAGAGGAACCCAAUGUUUCCUUGGACAGAGGAGGUAUUUUAAGGGCUCGACCACCCCUCCCCCUCUCCCCUCCUAAACAAGGCAUCCAUUUUGAGUCAACUGCAUGAGCAAAAUGGCCUCCAGGGACUCUUGUUCUUCUACAACUAUUGAGCUGGGCUUAAAUCACUGCCUCAUUAUGCAAGGGACUUUUAAUCAGAACAGCAUUGUAGUUAACCAUUUGGGGAGUUAACAUGAAGCACAUUCAAUUUAAGAUAAAGAACCCCAACCAAGCAAAUCGAUGGAAGCGUAUUAUAGCGAAAAAUGCAUUUAAGAUGUAUUAACGGGUGAAAGAUAUUUGUCCCGGACCCUUAACAGUUUGAGCUAUUGAAGCGUGUUACGUGUGGCGCACUUACAUAAGAGCAUGUUUCCACAUGGUCUGCUGAAUACCCAAGUCAACACUAACGAACCCAUCCGGGAGACAGUGGUUUACAAAAUGUAGAUGAUAUGGGAACAAUAGCUCUGCACAAUGGACAUGACGUAGCCCAGAGCACUGGCCGAGAGGCCGUACAGGGCAGAUUAUCACAACAGGAGUCCCAACAAAGGAAGCUGGAGGGGAAAGGAUUGCCCCAAGAUUAGCGUCAAGGGUGAUCAUGUCAGUGGUGGGUGAUGAUAGCAAAAUCAUUGUUAAUCAUUGUAGAAUCUAUGGUUUUAAAAAAUUCGGAACAAAGCAUCAAGUCUACAGAUUAACAUUUUUGGUUUAAAUUUGUAUUGAAGUUUAAAUGCAGAAAUAUCUCAUCACAUAAAGUUCAGGUAGGAUAAAGGCGAUUAGGAUUUUAAGAAAAAUAGUCAUAGAUAAUAGGAGAUUAUCUCACAUAAGUGCUGAGUGGUCAAUUCGCAUCAACUUGAACGGCUCAGCGGAUAUUAAAAAGACAUCUGCCAGUUCCAACCAUUAGGCUCCAAUCACAUUAAAUAUUAACAGCCCAUUGUUCGGGUUCAUCUGCACACUACAAGGAGCCUCUUAUUCAAUCAAAACUUCUAUUCAUUUUCAAGCAUGACGUUGAGAGAGGGUUAAGGGAAGGCAUGCACAUAGAUUUCCCGUCAGCAUGGUUUUAAAUAUCGUGUAAACCAGAACCUGCAGGGACACCAGUAGGUCUCUGAAGAACAUUUGGGAUUUGGGUUGUGUUGCUCAGAGGCCGUUCUACACAAGAGCUGAGCGAUUGAACAAAACGACCUGAAUGACCUGCUGAUCAGACCAGAGUCCAGGUGGAGAAGGAAGGCGUUCUGGAAGUUAACAGACCAGACUCCUGGUGUACCCGAAAGGUCUUCUGGUUCUGGGUAGUUCUAGUCAAGGGUCUUGAGGGGGUUCAGAGGUGCGGCCUGUACCUGGAGCAGUCUGAAGUAGCCGGGCGUCAGUCUUCCCAGCCGGAUGAUCAUGUCUGUGGUGGAGGGGAGGCAGCGGAGGAGGGUGGAGGAGACACGGAGGGUGGAGACUCAGCAGGAGGGGAGAUCUGGAGGUCUAGAGAGAAAAGAGGCGUUCAGAAUUAGUUAGGAACACAUGUUCGACACUGGAAAGCAUUCCAGAAAGCCGCCAUGAGGUUCUGAUGAGAAGUUUGAGAUAUUUCAGUUACUUUGAAGAACA
ensembl:lncRNA